GCCGGAGUGGUGGAAUGGGUAGACACCAGGGACUUAAAAUCCCUUGGACUCUCGAGUCCGUGCCGGUUCAAAUCCGGCCUCCGGCACCA
rnacentral:tRNA from 1 species